rnacentral:misc_RNA from 1 species
UUAAGUUCAGCGGGUAUCCCUACCUGAUCCGAGGUCAAACUAUUCUAAGAAUAAAAGGCUUGACGGCAGGCCUCCGCCGGGACCCGAUGCGAGACUAAACGUUACUACGCAUGGGGGCACCGCGGCGGGACCGCCACUUCAUUUCGGGGCCUACGGGGGAUAGCACGAGGCUUCCCGUAGUGCCCCAACCCCGGGCAGUC